CGUGUAGGCGGAUACGCAAGUCGGUUGUGAAAUCCCUGGGCUCAACCUAGGAACUGCAUCCGAAACUGUGUGUCUUGAGUAAUGGAGAGGGUGGCGGAAUUCCCGGUGUAGAGGUGAAAUUCGUAGAUAUCGGGAGGAACAUCUGUGGCGAAGGCGGCCACCUGGACAUUUACUGACGCUGAAGCGCGAAGGCUAGGGGAGCAAACA
rnacentral:rRNA from 1 species